rnacentral:rRNA from 1 species
CAGUAGCCACGGUAAUACAGAGGGUGCGAGCGUUAAUCGGAUUUACUGGGCGUAAGGCGUGCGUAGGCGGCUUCUUAAGUCGGAUGUGAAAUCCCUGAGCUUAACUUAGGAAUUGCAUUCGAUACUGGGAAGCUAGAGUAUGGGAGAGGAUGGUAGAAUUCCAGGUGUAGCGGUGAAAUGCGUAGAGAUCUGGAGGAAUACCGAUGGCGAAGGCAGCCAUCUGGCCUAAUACUGACGCUGAGGUACGAAAGCAUGGGGAGCAAACAGGAUUAGAUACCCCCGUAGUCCCUGUCUCUUAUAC